rnacentral:rRNA from 1 species
GACGAACGCUUGCGGCGUGCCUAAGAAAUGCAAGUCGAGCGAGGUUUAGGCUUCGGCCGACGACCUAGCGGCGAACGGUCGCGUAACACGUAAGCAACCUGCCCUAAAGUUGGGGAUAGCCCGCCGAAAGGCGGAUUAAUACCGAAUGUGGAUAUGAUUUCGCAUGUGAUUAUAUCUGAAGCAGCGAUACGCUUUAGGAUGGGCUUGCGGCCUAUCAGUUAGUUGGUGUGGGUAACGGCCUACCAAGACGACGACGGGUAGCUGGUCUGAGAGGAUGGUCAGCCGGAUUGGGACUGAGACACGGCCCAGACUCCUACGGGGGGCAGCAAUUAGGAAUCUUGCGCAAUGGGCGAAAGCCUGACGCAGCGACGCCGCGUGACUGAUGAAGUCUUUCGAGAUGUAAAGGUCUUUUGUUGGGGACGAAGGAAGUGACGGUACCCGACGAAUAAGCCCCGGCUAACUACGUG